rnacentral:rRNA from 1 species
CCUACGGGAGGCAGCAGUGGGGAAUAUUGGACAAUGGGCGCAAGCCUGAUCCAGCCAUGCCGCGUGAGUGAUGAAGGCCUUAGGGUUGUAAAGCUCUUUUGUCCGGGACGAUAAUGACGGUACCGGAAGAAUAAGCCCCGGCUAACUUCGUGCCAGCAGCCGCGGUAAUACGAAGGGGGCUAGCGUUGCUCGGAAUCACUGGGCGUAAAGGGCGCGUAGGCGGCCAUUCAAGUCGGGGGUGAAAGCCUGUGGCUCAACCACGGAAUUGCCUUCGAUACUGUUUGGCUUGAGUUUGGUAGAGGUUGGUGGAACUGCGAGUGUAGAGGUGAAAUUCGUAGAUAUUCGCAAGAACACCAGUGGCGAAGGCGGCCAACUGGACCAACACUGACGCUGAGGCGCGAAAGCGUGGGGAGCAAACAGGAUUAGAUACCCUGGUAGUCCGCGCCGUAAACGAUGAAUGCUAGCUGUUGGGGUGCUUGCACCUCAGUAGCGCAGCUAACGCUUUAAGCAUUCCGCCUGGGGAGUACGGUCGCAAGAUUAAAACUCAAAGGAAUUGACGGCUUGAGACGUUGCGAGCGACGACGAGGGAGAGG